rnacentral:rRNA from 1 species
UACAGAGGGGGCGAGCGUUGUUCGGAAUUACUGGGCGUAAAGGGCGCGUAGGCGGCCAACUAAGUCAGACGUGAAAUCCCUCGGCUCAACCGGGGAACUGCGUCUGAUACUGGAUGGCUUGAAUUCGGGAGAGGGAUGCGGAAUUCCAGGUGUAGCGGUGAAAUGCGUAGAUAUCUGGAGGAACACCGGUGGCGAAGGCGGUUCUCUGGGCCUUACCUGACGCUGAGGAGCGAAAGCGUGGGGAGCGAGCAGG